rnacentral:rRNA from 1 species
AUUGAACGCUGGCGGCAGGCCUAACACAUGCAAGUCGAACGAGUGGCGGACGGGUGUGUAAUGUCUGGGAAACUGCCUGAUGGAUGGGGAUAACUACUGGAAACGGUACCUAAUACCGCAUACCAUCGGAUGUGCCCAGAUGGGAUUAGCUAGUAGGUGGGGUAACGGCUCACCUAGUCGACGAUCCCUAGCUGGUCUGAGAGGAUGACCGGCCACACUGGAACGGAGACACGGUCCAGACUCCUAGGGGAGGCAGCAGUGGGGAAUAUUGCACAAUGGGGGCAAGCCUGAUGCAGCAAUGCCGCGUGUAUGAAGAAGGCCUUCGGGUUGUAAACUACUUUCAGCGGGGAGGCGUUACCCGCAGAAGAAGCACCGGCUAACUCCGUGCCAGCAGCCGCGGUAAUUC